GUGCAUGUAGCUUAACGCGGCAAAGCACACCGGAUAUGUGAUUGAUGGUGGUUCAACCCCACCCGUGCACACCA
rnacentral:tRNA from 1 species